rnacentral:rRNA from 1 species
CAGCCGUAAACUAUGCGCGUUAGGUGUAUCGGUGACCACGAGUUACCGAGGUGCCGAAGGGAAACCGUGAAACGUGCCGCCUGGGAAGUACGGUCGCAAGGCUGAAACUUAAAGGAAUUGGCGGGGGAGCACAACAACGGGUGGAGCCUGCGGUUUAAUUGGACUCAACGCCGGACAACUCGCCGGGAACGACAGCAAUAUGUAGGCCAGGCUGAAGACCUUGCCUGAAUCGCUGAGAGGAGGUGCAUGGCGUAGACGUCU